AGCGAACGCUGGCGGCAGGCUUAACACAUGCAAGUCGAACGGUCCUUCGGGAUAGUGGCGGACGGGUGAGUAACACGUGGGAACGUACCCUUAGGUUCGGAACAACACAGGGAAACUUGUGCUAAUACCGGAUAAGCCCUUCGGGGGAAAGAUUUAUCGCCUUUGGAGCGGCCCGCGUCUGAUUAGCUUGUUGGUGAGGAUAAUGGCUCACCAAGGCUACGAUCAGUAGCUGGUCUGAGAGGAUGGCCAGCCACACUGGGACGGAGACACGGCCCAGACUCCUACGGGAGGCAGCAGUGGGGAAUCGUGCGAAAUGGGCGAAAGCCUGACGCAGCCAUGCCGCGUGGAUGAUGAAGGUCUUAGGAUUGUAAAAUCCUUUCACCGGGGACGAUAAUGACGGUACCCGGAGAAGAAGCCCCGGCUAACUUCGUGCCAGCCGCCGCGGUAA
rnacentral:rRNA from 1 species